GGGCUUAUAGUCUAGAGGUUAUGACGUCACCUUGACACGGUGAAGGUCGGGAGUUCGAAUCUCCCUGAGCCCA
rnacentral:tRNA from 1 species